AGCCCAGGGAUACCUGGCCCCAAGCACCGGCUACGGAGGGCAGGGUGCCUGCCAAGCAGAACAGAGAAACUCCAAGAAAGCCCAGGUUCUUGGCAUCUAUUCAGGAGCUCCGGUGUAAUCAGGGCUCCACGGGCCCCUUUUGAGUGUCUGCUCUCAAGCUGCAGGUAGCUGAAUCGGAGCCCAAAUCCUUGCAAAAACGCCGGUGGGACCCCUGCCAACAACCAAGCAAUGGCUUUUCAAGCUGGAAGGGAGCAAGUCCGACUCAAUCUUGGUUGCUGGUCUGAUGAUGUGAGCCCAAGGCUCACAACGAAGGCUGUCCGGUCCCUGCGUGCUUGGCCAGAGGGCCCAGGGAUGCUUGGAGUUAGCUGGGUCCUCUCUGGCUCCAGGCUCUGCUAACCUGACGGAAGCCGCAGCUCAUUGGAGCCUUUCUUACAGCGGAUUUCAGUGCCACUGAAGUGAGACACAGUCCCCAGCCUCAGUACAACUAUUUCAUCCGAGACAUUAUACGCAGAUCCUGCGAUGACGGGUCAGGGCUCCCAGAGGCCACCAUGUUUACAAAACUGAGGACUUACUGGGUGCUUCCUGUGAUGGACCCUUCGCUUGUUCACUCUGCAAGCCUUUUUUUUUUUUUUUUUUUUUUUUUUUUUUGUUUUUUAAGGGCUGCACUCAUGGCACGUGGAGGUUCCCAGGCUAGGGGUCCAAUUGGAGCUGUAGCUGCCAGCCUACAUCUCAGCCACAGCAACGUGGGAUCUGAGCCACGUCUGCGACCUACACCAACGCUGGAUCCUUAACCCACUGAGCGAGGCUAGGGAUCGAACCCACAACCUCAUGGUUCCUAGUCAGAUUCAUUUCCACUGCGCCACAAUGGGAACGCCCCAAGCCUGUUCUUCAUAGCAUCCUAAGUACUAUUCUUAACAGUUGAAAGAAAUACGGCCUCUCGGAAGAGAAGUACGAGAAGCUGGUGAGAUAAUUGAAUAUGACUCUUCCUUGAUUUCUCCUUGUAUAAACCAUCCUCACCCCAAAUGUUCUGAACUGGGAAGAGAAGAGUCAACCUUGUCUCAAGACCUGGAGGUGUGGCUUCGAUUUUACUUCUUAAAUGUAGGUAGAGGCUAAAACAUACAGAUUUUUUUUUGGAGCGGGGGUGAGGACUUUUUUUAUAUUUUAUUUUUAAGGAUUUUUUUUUUUUUAAGCACAGAGUUUGAGAGGCUUUUAGGACAGGAGAGGCUUUUAUUAUAAUUAAUUAUUUAUUUAUUUAGCUUUUUAGGGCCACACUUUGCGGCAUAUGGAGGUUCACGGCAUAUGGAGUUUCCCGGCUAGGGGUCGAAUUGGAGCUGUAGCUGCCACAGCCACGCCACAGCCACAGCAACGCGGGAUCCGAGCUGCGUCUGCGACCUACACAGCAGCUCAAGGCAACGCCGGAUCCUUAACCCACUGAGCAAGGCCAGGAUCGAACCCACAUCCUCAUGGAUCCUAGUCUGGUUCAUUAACCACUGAGCCACAAAGGGAACUCCCCAGGAGAGGCUUUUAGUCAAAUUCUGGCCACCACUUACUACCGGUGCCAACUUGUGAGCGGUAUUGAGCCACUCUUGACCUCGGUGUCUUUGCUCUAAAAUUGAUCAAAAAUAGAAGGUUAUGGAGUUCCUGUCGUUGCUCAGUGGAAAUGAAUCUGACAAGUAUCCACAAGGACGGAGGUUCAAUCCCGGCCUCGAUCCAUGAAUUAAGGAUUCAGCAUUGCAAUGAGCUGCAGUGUAGACCACGGACGCGGCUGGGAUCUGGCGUUGCUCUGGCUG
rnacentral:lncRNA from 1 species